rnacentral:tRNA from 7 species
GGUGCAUUCGUCUAGUGGCCUAGGACGCCGCCCUCUCACGGCGGAAACUCGGGUUCGAUCCCCGGACGCACUACAA